rnacentral:sRNA from 1 species
CUGUGCCAGGCUUGUAAGUCUCUCUCUGGGCCUCCAUUCCCUCCUGUAGGAAAUUGGAGGGGUUGGGGUGGCUCCAGUGAGCUCUCCCCUUCUGAAACUCAUACUAAUCUGGGGCAGCCAAGGCUUAGCCCCGCCAGCCUGUGAACCUCUCACAGUGCCCACAGCCAUGCCCUCCUCCGUCCAGGGGCUGACAGGUGGGAGGGGUAGCCCUGCCUCAAGGAGUGGACUUACCUGGCCUCUCUGCUCAGAGAUCAUCAAUUACGAAUUUGACACCAAGGACCUGGUGUGCCUGGGCCUGAGCAGCAUCGUUGGCGUCUGGUACCUGCUGAGGAAGGUAUUUGGCACCAAUGUGAUGGUGACAGUGGCCAAGUCCUUCGAGGCACCAAUAAAAUUGGUGUUUCCCCAGGAUCUGCUGGAGAAAGGCCUCGAAGCAAACAACUUUGCCAUGCUGGGACUUGGAGAUGUCGUCAUUCCAGGGAUCUUCAUUGCCUUGCUGCUGCGCUUUGACAUCAGCUUGAAGAAGAAUACCCACACCUACUUCUACACCAGCUUUGCAGCCUACAUCUUCGGCCUGGGCCUUACCAUCUUCAUCAUGCACAUCUUCAAGCAUGCUCAGCCUGCCCUCCUAUACCUGGUCCCCGCCUGCAUCGGUUUUCCUGUCCUGGUGGCGCUGGCCAAGGGAGAAGUGACAGAGAUGUUCAGUUAUGAGGAGUCAAAUCCUAAGGAUCCAGCGGCAGUGACAGAAUCCAAAGAGGGA